rnacentral:rRNA from 1 species
GAUUAAGUUAUUAAGGGCGCACGGUGGAUGCCUUGGCACUAGAAGCCGAUGAAGGACGUUACUAACGACGAUAUGCUUUGGGGAGCUGUAAGUAAGCUUUGAUCCAGAGAUUUCCGAAUGGGGAAACCCAGCAUGAGUUAUGUCAUGUUAUCGAUAUGUGAAUACAUAGCAUAUCAGAAGGCACACCCGGAGAACUGAAACAUCUUAGUACCCGGAGGAAGAGAAAGAAAAUUCGAUUCCCUUAGUAGCGGCGAGCGAAACGGGAAGAGCCCAAACCAACAAGCUUGCUUGUUGGGGUUGUAGGACACUCUAUACGGAGUUACAAAGGACGACAUUAGACGAAUCAUCUGGAAAGAUGAAUCAAAGAAGGUAAUAAUCCUGUAGUCGAAAAUGUUGUCUCUCUUGAGUGGAUCCUGAGUACGACGGAGCACGUGAAAUUCCGUCGGAAUCUGGGAGGACCAUCUCCUAAGGCUAAAUACUCUCUAGUGACCGAUAGUGAACCAGUACCGUGAGGGAAAGGUGAAAAGCACCCCGGAAGGGGAGUGAAAUAGAACCUGAAACCGUGUGCUUACAAGUAGUCAGAGCCCGUUAAUGGGUGAUGGCGUGCCUUUUGUAGAAUGAACCGGCGAGUUACGAUUUGAUGCAAGGUUAAGCAGUAAAUGUGGAGCCGUAGCGAAAGCGAGUCUGAAUAGGGCGUUUAGUAUUUGGUCGUAGACCCGAAACCAGGUGAUCUACCCUUGGUCAGGUUGAAGUUCAGGUAACACUGAAUGGAGGACCGAACCGACUUACGUUGAAAAGUGAGCGGAUGAACUGAGGGUAGCGGAGAAAUUCCAAUCGAACCUGGAGAUAGCUGGUUCUCUCCGAAAUAGCUUUAGGGCUAGCCUCAAGUGAUGAUUAUUGGAGGUAGAGCACUGUUUGGACGAGGGGCCCCUCUCGGGUUACCGAAUUCAGACAAACUCCGAAUGCCAAUUAAUUUAACUUGGGAGUCAGAACAUGGGUGAUAAGGUCCGUGUUCGAAAGGGAAACAGCCCAGACCACCAGCUAAGGUCCCAAAAUAUAUGUUAAGUGGAAAAGGAUGUGGCGUUGCCCAGACAACUAGGAUGUUGGCUUAGAAGCAGCCAUCAUUUAAAGAGUGCGUAAUAGCUCACUAGUCGAGUGACACUGCGCCGAAAAUGUACCGGGGCUAAACAUAUUACCGAAGCUGUGGAUUGUCCUUUGGACAAUGGUAGGAGAGCGUUCUAAGGGCGUUGAAGCAUGAUCGUAAGGACAUGUGGAGCGCUUAGAAGUGAGAAUGCCGGUGUGAGUAGCGAAAGACGGGUGAGAAUCCCGUCCACCGAUUGACUAAGGUUUCCAGAGGAAGGCUCGUCCGCUCUGGGUUAGUCGGGUCCUAAGCUGAGGCCGACAGGCGUAGGCGAUGGAUAACAGGUUGAUAUUCCUGUACCACCUAUAAUCGUUUUAAUCGAUGGGGGGACGCAGUAGGAUAGGCGAAGCGUGCGAUUGGAUUGCACGUCUAAGCAGUAAGGCUGAGUAUUAGGCAAAUCCGGUACUCGUUAAGGCUGAGCUGUGAUGGGGAGAAGACAUUGUGUCUUCGAGUCGUUGAUUUCACACUGCCGAGAAAAGCCUCUAGAUAGAAAAUAGGUGCCCGUACCGCAAACCGACACAGGUAGUCAAGAUGAGAAUUCUAAGGUGAGCGAGCGAACUCUCGUUAAGGAACUCGGCAAAAUGACCCCGUAACUUCGGGAGAAGGGGUGCUCUUUAGGGUUAACGCCCAGAAGAGCCGCAGUGAAUAGGCCCAAGCGACUGUUUAUCAAAAACACAGGUCUCUGCUAAACCGUAAGGUGAUGUAUAGGGGCUGACGCCUGCCCGGUGCUGGAAGGUUAAGAGGAGUGGUUAGCUUCUGCGAAGCUACGAAUCGAAGCCCCAGUAAACGGCGGCCGUAACUAUAACGGUCCUAAGGUAGCGAAAUUCCUUGUCGGGUAAGUUCCGACCCGCACGAAAGGCGUAACGAUUUGGGCACUGUCUCAACGAGAGACUCGGUGAAAUCAUAGUACCUGUGAAGAUGCAGGUUACCCGCGACAGGACGGAAAGACCCCGUGGAGCUUUACUGUAGCCUGAUAUUGAAAUUCGGCACAGCUUGUACAGGAUAGGUAGGAGCCUUUGAAACGUGAGCGCUAGCUUACGUGGAGGCGCUGGUGGGAUACUACCCUAGCUG